rnacentral:rRNA from 1 species
GCAACUCGCCUACAUGAAGUCGGAAUUGCUAGUAAUCGCGGAUCAGCAUGCCGCGGUGAAUACGUUCCCGGGCCUUGUACACACCGCCCGUCACACCAUGGGAGUCGGUAACACCCGAAGCCUGUAGUCUAACCGCAAGGAGGACGCAGUCGAAGGUGGGAUUGAUGACUGGGGGUGAAGUCGUAACAAGGUAUC